CUAUCUCCAUUCCUCCCUGUUCCAUCUUGGCUGUGCUACUGAGCAGACAUGGGCUAAUUUUUAUCAUGAUGAACUGUAAGUGGGAUGUGAUGACUUUAUAAGGUUUAGUUGUUAUUGUUUUAGUUAGGUAGAUUGUGUGUUAUUAUUUGUAUGUUGUUGUUUUGUCUCUGAAUAAAUAUUUGUUAAAGUAGAUGGAGCAGAGUUUAUGUGUAUGCG